GACCAGCCCCUCUCUAUUUUGGCGCCUGCUCCUGCUGAUGCUCGAUGGUUGGUCCAUCGUGGUCAUACGGCCAUCGAACGCCCUAUGGCUGCCGUUUCUUGUUGGUUGCCAUGGCGUGGUACCUCCAGCUCCUCCUGCAUUUGCGUAGGUAGCGGAAGUUGACCAUGUGAGUGCCACUUAAUUGAGUAUUUGCCGGCAGCCCGGAUUGACUCGCGUGCAGUUGCGUACGCUUUGAGCUGUGAAUUGAAAAAUUCAACUAUGGAAGCAAUGGGACCUACAGGUGAAGACAACAUACAGGACAAUGUUCAUGACGACGUACAGGACAAUGUUCAUGACAACAUACAGGACGAUGUUCAAGAUGGCCUAAUUAGUGAUGCAUUUGAUGUUGCUAAUGGCCAGGCAAAUAGGAAAAAAGUUGUUAAAGCCCACAUUGGAGCUAAGCCGCCCAAAGAAUGAGUUCUUGGCUCAAAAUCAUCAAAAGAGACAAGGCGAUAAUUCAAAUAAUUUGCCGGCCGAUAUUUUUUUUUAAAUUUUCGUUUGGGCAGCCACCGAUUCUUGCACGCCAACUAUUUUUACCGCAGUUAUUAAGAGCAAAAUCAAAAUUUAAAAUGCAGGAGAAGCAAUGGAGGUUUUGGCACUUUGAAGCAAUCACUGUAACACUAGGUCAAAUUUUUGUCAGCUGGCGCGAUAUAGACUUUCAAACUUCGCAGCCCAAAAUCGGCCAAACUCAUACAGACACCGGCUAAAACUGACGAGCUCGGGCUCAAUUUUCCCAAUUUUCAACGCUAUGGACUGAUAUGAAACCAACGAAAUUUUUGUUUUAAAUUAUGUUUAUAUGUGGCCGUAUUACUCAAAUGAGUUUGAAAUAUGUAAAAGCAUAAUUGUUUUUAUACAUAUGCAUAUAUAUUUAUAUUAUGGUCAUAUAUCAUAUUAUGAUUAUUUUAAUUUUAUAUAAUGUACAGUGCUAAUUGUAUUCUUUGCUUUAUAUAAAUUAACACUUUGUAUGUAUACAUUUAUGAAGUAUACUUCAUAAAUAAUGGUGAUGAGCAAUACAUAUAUUUACAUACAUAUAUGUACAUACAUAUAUUUGUAAUAUUUAAUAAAUCACAACUUACAUUUUAUGUACUUAUAAUGUUAUGUAAAAAUAAAAUUAUCAUAAUUGGUUGUUGCAAGAACAAGAAUACAUAGUAAUACUUUGUA